rnacentral:piRNA from 1 species
UAGAAAGCCAAAGGUCCCUGAAACAGUGC